AGCUUUGGGCAAUGGCAGUAUCAUAGCCAAUGAAGUUCAUCAAGGCACAAUUAUUUCUAAUUGAAAAACUGAGCAACCGUUCUGAGUAUGCUGCAUAUACAGUACACAGGGCAUGUGGGGGCAUCCUCCAAGGC
ensembl:snRNA U4 U4 spliceosomal RNA